ACAUGCCUACAACAUAGCGUUAAUGCACCGGAUCCCAUUAGAAAUUCACAGUUAAGCACGCUUAGGCUAGAAUAGUAUUAGGAUGAGUGACCACCUCGGAAUUCCUAGUGUUUUACAUGCC
rnacentral:rRNA from 1 species